GAUGAACGCUGGCGGCGUGCCUAAUACAUGCAAGUCGAGCGAACGGACGAGAAGCUUGCUUUUCUGAUGUUAGCGGCGGACGGGUGAGUAGCACGUGGAUAACCUACCUAUAAGACUGGGAUAACUUCGGGAAACCGGAGCUAAUACCGGAUAAUAUUUUGAACCGCAUGGUUCAAAAGUGAAAGACGGUCUUGCUGUCACUUAUAGAUGGAUCCGCGCUGCAUUAGCUAGUUGGUAAGGUAACGGCUUACCAAGGCAACGAUGCAUAGCCGACCUGAGAGGGUGAUCGGCCACACUGGAACUGAGACACGGUCCAGACUCCUACGGGAGGCAGCAGUAGGGAAUCUUCCGCAAUGGGCGAAAGCCUGACGGAGCAACGCCGCGUGAGUGAUGAAGGUCUUCGGAUCGUAAAACUCUGUUAUUAGGGAAGAACAUAUGUGUAAGUAACUGUGCACAUCUUGACGGUACCUAAUCAGAAAGCCACGGCUAACUACGUGCCAGCAGCCGCGGUAAUACGUAGGUGGCAAGCGUUAUCCGGAAUUAUUGGGCGUAAAGCGCGCGUAGGCGGUUUUUUAAGUCUGAUGUGAAAGCCCACGGCUCAACCGUGGAGGGUCAUUGGAAACUGGAAAACUUGAGUGCAGAAGAGGAAAGUGGAAUUCCAUGUGUAGCGGUGAAAUGCGCAGAGAUGUGGAGGAACACCAGUGGCGAAGGCGACUUUCUGGUCUGUAACUGACGCUGAUGUGCGAAAGCGUGGGGAUCAAACAGGAUUAGAUACCCUGGUAGUCCACGCCGUAAACGAUGAGUGCUAAGUGUUAGGGGGUUUCCGCCCCUUAGUGCUGCAGCUAACGCAUUAAGCACUCCGCCUGGGGAGUACGACCGCAAGGUUGAAACUCAAAGGAAUUGACGGGGGCCCGCACAAGCGGUGGAGCAUGUGGUUUAAUUCGAAGCAACGCGAAGAACCUUACCAAAUCUUGACAUCCUUUGACAACUCUAGAGAUAGAGCCUUCCCCUUCGGGGGACAAAGUGACAGGUGGUGCAUGGUUGUCGUCAGCUCGUGUCGUGAGAUGUUGGGUUAAGUCCCGCAACGAGCGCAACCCUUAAGCUUAGUUGCCAUCAUUAAGUUGGGCACUCUAAGUUGACUGCCGGUGACAAACCGGAGGAAGGUGGGGAUGACGUCAAAUCAUCAUGCCCCUUAUGAUUUGGGCUACACACGUGCUACAAUGGACAAUACAAAGGGCAGCGAAACCGCGAGGUCAAGCAAAUCCCAUAAAGUUGUUCUCAGUUCGGACUGUAGUCUGCAACUCGACUACAUGAAGCUGGAAUCGCUAGUAAUCGUAGAUCAGCAUGCUACGGUGAAUACGUUCCCGGGUCU
rnacentral:rRNA from 1 species